UUUUGAAAAAUUUUGGAAACUGACAAUUAAAUAUUGACUCAACAAAUUGCUUUCAAAUAAUUAUCCCCAAACAAAAAGAUGCGUUGGGGUAAUGGUAGCUUAUGGUCUAAAGGUAAAAUUAAAAAAAUAGAUUCACUGAACAUAUUAAAUUGUGUUCAGCCAAUUCAUCAAGUAAAAGUGAAAUAUCUGUGUUUGCCGAACAAGCCUUGCGGAGGAAAAAACGCAUGCGCAUGCCAGACAGGCGCAUGCACCUGAGAGAAACCGUUGGUAUAGUGGAUUCAAAUGUAUCUGCGCGGGAGAGUGAGGAGACUGAGGAGACUGAGGAGUCGAUGCUGAAGUACGACGACAGAAGUUCAGACAUCAUUUGCAAAAAGAUUUUUCUUCAUUUAAGUUAUGAAGUGCUGAAUCAGUCAGAGCUGGAUCAGUCUGGCUGGGAGUUUCCUGGCUAGACCACACAAGUGACAUCUCUUUUCUUCUCUGACGACAUGUUACAGUAAGGGCCGUACAACCUGUCACUGACAUUAGAUCGCAGCAAUGAUCCAAUGAAUCCCCAAAGGACAAAAUCAAGUUCUGCCCUACAUUUUUUUUCUUGUUUGAAA